UAGGGAAUAUUCCACAACGAGCGAAAGCUUGAUGGAGCGACACAGCGUGCACGAUGAAGGCCCUCGGGUUGUAAAGUGCUGUUGCAAGGGAAGAACAGUUAGUUGAGGAAAUGCUUCUAAUCUGACGGUACCUUGUUAGAAAGCGAUGGCUAACUAUGUGCCAGCAGCCGCGGUAAUACAUAGGUCGCAAGCGUUAUCCGGAAUUAUUGGGCGUAAAGCGUUCGUAGGCUGUUUAUUAAGUCUGGAGUCAAAUCCCAGGGCUCAACCCUGGCUCGCUUUGGAUACUGGUAAACUAGAGUUAGAUAGAGGUAAGCGGAAUUCCAUGUGGAGCGGUGAAAUGCGUAGAUAUAUGGAAGAACACCAAAGGCGAAGGCAGCUUACUGGGUCUAUACUGACGCUGAGGGACGAAAGCGUGGGGAGCAAACAGGAUUAGAUACCCUGGUAGUCCACGCUGUAAACGAUGAUCAUUAGUCGGUGGAAAACUACUGACGCAGCUAACGCAUUAAAUGAUCCGCCUGAGUAGUAUGCUCANCAAGAGUG
rnacentral:rRNA from 1 species